CCUACGGGAGGCAGCAGUGGGGAAUAUUGCACAAUGGGCGAAAGCCUGACGCAGCGACGCCGCGUGAGGGACGAAGGUCUUUGGAUCGUAAACCUCUGUCAGCAGGGAAGAACGGUCACUGUGCUAAUCAGCACUGAAUUAACGGUACCUGCAACGGCAGCACCGGCUAACCCCGUGCCAGCAGCCGCGGUAAUACGGAGGGCGCGAGCGUUAAUCGGAAUUACUGGGCGGAAAGCGCUCGUAGGCGGUAUGUCAAGUCAAGGGGGAAAUCCCCGCGCUCAACGUGGGAACUGCCUUUGAAACUGGCAAGCUGGAGUGUGUGUGAGGAUAGUGGAAUUCCAGGUGUAGGAGUGAAAUCCGUAGAUAUCUGGAGGAACAUC
rnacentral:rRNA from 1 species